rnacentral:rRNA from 1 species
UACGUAGGGUGCAAGCGUUGUCCGGAAUUAUUGGGCGUAAAGAGCUCGUAGGCGGUCUGUCGCGUCUGCUGUGAAAACUCGGGGCUUAACCCCGGGCCUGCAGUGGGUACGGGCAGACUAGAGUGCGGUAGGGGAGACUGGAAUUCCCGGUGUAGUGGUGGAAUGCGUAGAUAUCGGGAGGAACACCAGUGGCGAAGGCGGUUACCUGGAGCUUUGCUGACGCUGAUGCGCGAAAGCGUGGGGAGCGAUCCGG